rnacentral:rRNA from 1 species
UGGGGAAUUUUGGACAAUGGGCGCAAGCCUGAUCCAGCCAUGCCGCGUGCGGGAAGAAGGCCUUCGGGUUGUAAACCGCUUUUGUCAGGGAAGAAAAGGUUCUGGUUAAUACCUGGGACUCAUGACGGUACCUGAAGAAUAAGCACCGGCUAACUACGUGCCAGCAGCCGCGGUAAUACGUAGGGUGCAAGCGUUAAUCGGAAUUACUGGGCGUAAAGCGUGCGCAGGCGGUUAUGCAAGACAGAGGUGAAAUCCCCGGGCUCAACCUGGGAACUGCCUUUGUGACUGCAUAGCUAGAGUACGGUAGAGGGGGAUGGAAUUCCGCGUGUAGCAGUGAAAUGCGUAGAUAUGCGGAGGAACACCGAUGGCGAAGGCAAUCCCCUGGGCCUGUACUGACGCUCAUGCACGAAAGCGUGGGGAGCAAACAGGAUUAGAUACCCUGG